rnacentral:rRNA from 1 species
GACAGGUGCUGCAUGGCUGUCGUCAGCUCGUGUUGUGAAAUGUUGGGUUAAGUCCCGCAACGAGCGCAACCCUUAUCCUUUGUUGCCAGCGGUCCGGCCGGGAACUCAAAGGAGACUGCCAGUGAUAAACUGGAGGAAGGUGGGGAUGACGUCAAGUCAUCAUGGCCCUUACGACCAGGGCUACACACGUGCUACAAUGGCGCAUACAAAGAGAAGCGACCUCGCGAGAGCAAGCGGACCUCAUAAAGUGCGUCGUAGUCCGGAUUGGAGUCUGCAACUCGACUCCAUGAAGUCGGAAUCGCUAGUAAUCGUGGAUCAGAAUGCCACGGUGAAUACGUUCCCGGGCCUUGUACACACCGCCCGUCACACCAUGGGAGUGGGUUGCAAAAGAAGUAGGUAGCUUAACCUUCGGGAGGGCGCUUACCACUUUGUGAUUCAUGACUGGGGUGAAGUCGUAACAAGGUAACCGUAGGGGAACCUGCGGUUGGAUCACCUC